UACGGAGGAUGCGAGCGUUAUCCGGAUUUAUUGGGUUUAAAGGGUGCGUAGGCGGACGCUUAAGUCAGCGGUAAGAUUGCGGGGCUCAACCUCGUCGAGCCGUUGAAACUGGGUGUCUUGAGUGGGCGAGAAGUACGCGGAAUGCGUGGUGUAGCGGUGAAAUGCAUAGAUAUCACGCAGAACUCCGAUUGCGAAGGCAGCGUACCGGCGCCCAACUGACGCUGAAGCACGAAGGCGUGGGUAUCGAACAGG
rnacentral:rRNA from 1 species